rnacentral:misc_RNA from 1 species
GAAAAAAAUAUUUCGCUUUACACGAAAUGGUCUCCUUACUGAGCAGUUCAAAGCAUAGGGAUUCAACAGCACAAUUUAAAGAAAUGCCAUGAGUUCUGACGAUGACGAUUGGAUGGAUGUGGUUGUCAUUGACAACGGGUCAGGGUCAAGUCGAUCGGGAUUUGCCGGAGAAGAUGCCCCCCGAUCCAUUUUCCCCUCGGUGGUAGGAGGACACAAAGAAGGAGUGAGUUCAUAUUAGGUUUAGGAGGUGUUAGCACCACCCUCCACGACUUGUUUUGUCCCUAUAUACCAAAUGAUAGACCAUUGUCUAGAUAGUAUAUCACCACUUUUGAUUUUAGUGUGUUUCAAGUGACAGGGAAGAUAUUUACCUUUAAAAAUUAAUAUCUCAUAGAAAAAUUAUAAUUCAAAUAGGAGAAAUGAAUCUCCUACAGAAAAUAUUGACAGUCCUAUAGGAUUUUCUAAAAGUCCUAGAGGAAUUAUUUCUCCUAUAGGAGAAUGUUUCCUGUGGGAAUUUGUUUCAGACAGUAGUUUUCUUAUAGGAAAUUAAGAUCUCCUAUCGGAUUUUAUCAAAUCCUGACGGAAUUAAAAUUCCUAUAGGAAGUUUUGUAUUCCGAUAGGAAAUUUCAAAUUUCCUGGAGAAAUAUUGUUUUUCAUAUGGGAAAAUAUAUUUUCCUGUAGGAAUUUAUUUUUGAAAGUUAAAUAUCUCACCUGACAGGUGAGAUACAAUCAUAACAAGGGUGGUUGUAAACUCUUUAAUCAUAUGGCAUAUUUGAAUUUUUCGGUAUAUGCAGCUUAGAUGGGUGCAAAAAAUGUCACCUUGGCACUGGCAUAAUUUUCCGGCACAGUGUUUGUUUAUACUUAACAAAACUUUAUGUUGCUUUUAUCAGAUGACACAUUUCAUCGCCUCAAAUUCAGGGAGUUUUGUUGGGGACCAAGCCGUUUCACUGAGCAAAGUUCUGUCCCUUCGUCAUCCCAUAGAGAGGGGUGUAGUCACCGAUUGGGAUGCUAUGGCGACGAUAUUGCAUUAUGUUUUUGAGACUGAAUUAAAGACAAAGUCUGAAGAUAUGAAAGUUCUUAUGACGGAUACUAUUUUGAAUCCAGCAGGAAAUCGGGAAAAAAUGACAGAGGUUAUAUUCCGAUUCACGACCUGUUAUGUUUAAAUGAAAGAUAGUUUCGUUUACCCUUUAAAUGUAUUACCAUUUGGAAUUUGAACAAUGUAUCAUGCUCCAUUCAGGUAAUGAUGGAAACAUUCCGCGUUCCCGGCUUCCAUGUGAAGAAUCAAGGCAUUCUCUCGGUGUACGGAUCCGGAAGGGGAUGUGCUGUAACAGUGAACAUAGGGGACGGAGCCACACAAAUAUUUGUUAUUUACGAAGGAAUGACGGUUCUUGCAGCAAACAGACGACUAGAUCUUGCAGGGAGAGAUUUAACCCUUUAUCUACAGAGACUCCUGUACGACAGGGGAUAUUCAUUUACCACUCAUGCGGAAAUGAUGAUUGUAAAGGACAUGAAGGAGAAGUUAUGUUUUGUGAGCCAGGAUUAUAAAAAGGAUCAGAUUACUGCUGAGACGACUUCAGAUUUAGAUAAGUCGUACACACUGCUAGACGGAAGUCAAAUCACCCUGGGACAUGAGAGGUUUCAAUGUCCGGAAGCUCUGUUUCAACCAUCAUUACUAGGCCUGGACUGUGACGGGAUCCAUCAGCAGAUUAACCAGUGUAUCCUGGAGUGUGGCCUGGAUAUGAGGAGUACUCUGUACGUCAGUGUCGUCUUAUCCGGAGGAACUACGAUGUGUCUGGGAUUUGCCGAUAGACUUCAUCUCGAAUUGCAAGCCUUGGUUCCUGGACCUAUGAAGGUAAAAGUAGUGGCCCCUCCCGAAAGAAAAUUUUUGCCUUGGAUCGGAGGUUCAAUCGUAGGAUCUCUGUCUACCUUUCAACAGCAAUGGAUUACUCAGGAAAUGUAUCAGGAAGUCGGGCCCAGCAUAGUUCACCGACGAUGCGCGAAUGUAUGAGGAUGUAAAAGAAAAACUUUAAAAUAUCAUGUAUAAAUGCAAACCGUGAUACCGUGUGUUAUAUGUACAUUGAUUAGCAAAUGCCGAGAUUUAUAUGUACAUGUAGCUCAAUAGGAAUUUGUACAUAUGCAGAUGACAUAGUUGUCAUAAUUUGUGUAAUAUAGGUAUUUAUCUAAAUAU